GAGAGGUAGAGAGAGAAAGAGGGAGAAAGGAAUAACAAGGGUUUGAGAAAGGGAGAAACUUGAAGAUUGAAGAAUUAGGAGGUAAAGUGAAGCCUAAGUGUGAAUUAAUCAUAACCUAAGACGUUGUGCAGGUUUAGUAGCUUGGUGAGUUCCUGAUGUUGGUGGAUAGUGGGAGCUUUCUCCGCUAUCGGGUCUUAGAGUAGAGUUGGCUCUGAUCUAGGGUUUUGUUGUUAGCUCUAGAUCUUGUUGGAUUAUUUUCGUACUUUGAGAUUUUGUCCACGUGUCGGACUUGGAGAUUUUAUGCUUAUGCAUUUUUGAGAUGACAUGACAUGUAUGUUUGAUGUAUGAGAUUUGUAUCCGCUGCGACUGAUGAGGUUUUAUAUACAUGCAUGUUGACCGUUGAUUCGAUUUUGUUUU